rnacentral:rRNA from 1 species
GUUGUCCGGAUUUAUUGGGCGUAAAGCGCGUGCAGGUGGUUGGUUAAGUCCGAUGUGAAAUCUCCCGGCUCACCUGGGAGGGUGCGUUGGCGACUGGCCGACUGGAGGCAGGUAGAGGCCGGUGGAAUUCCCGGUGUAGUGGUGAAAUGCGUAGAUAUCGGGAGGAACACCAGUGGCGAAAGCGGCCGGCUGGGCCUGUCCUGACGCUGAGACGCGAAAGCGUGGGGAGCGAACCGG